GCAGCUUCCAGAAGGCGUGAGGACGGACAACCGGAAAGUUUGGUUGGGAGGUCUUCAAAUGCACUCGUCCGAGUGGGCGGGGUUCAUUGAGGAUCAACAGCCGACUUGGAAAAAGCGCCCACUGAUCCAAAAAAAAAAAAAAAGACUGGAUGGCUCAUUGGCCACCAAAAUGAAGUCGCCGUCUGCCAUCUUGGUACUCCCAAUUAAUCGUCAGUUUUGUGGCUGUGAGAAAACAUUCCGCAGGCGCACCGACGAGACCCGUGCAAAUGAUUUGCCGGGCGACUCACUCCAGAUCCGCGGCGCUGUCGGUUUUCAUAAAGUCCUGCUUGGCUCGCAGCAAGAUGUCCG